rnacentral:rRNA from 1 species
GGCGGUAGGUGACCCUGCGGAAGGAUCAUUG